rnacentral:rRNA from 1 species
GGGAAACCGAGUCUUAACCGGGCGUUAAGUUGCAGGGUAUAGACCCGAAACCCGGUGAUCUAGCCAUGGGCAGGUUGAAGGUUGGGUAACACUAACUGGAGGACCGAACCGACUAAUGUUGAAAAAUUAGCGGAUGACCUGUGGCUGGGGGUGAAAGGCCAAUCAAACCGGGAGAUAGCUGGUUCUCCCCGAAAGCUAUUUAGGUAGCGCCUCGUGAAUUCAUCUCCGGGGGUAGAGCACUGUUUCGGCUAGGGGGCCAUCCCGGCUUACCAACCCGAUGCAAACUGCGAAUACCGGAGAAUGUUAUCACGGGAGACACACGGCGGGUGCUAACGUCCGUCGUGAAGAGGGAAACAACCCAGACCGCCAGCUAAGGUCCCAAAGUCAUGGUUAAGUGGGAAACGAUGUGGGAAGGCCCAGACAGCCAGGAUGUUGGCUUAGAAGCAGCCAUCAUUUAAAGAAAGCGUAAUAGCUCACUGGUCGAGUCGGCCUGCGCG